rnacentral:rRNA from 1 species
ACUCCUACGGGAGGCAGCAGUGGGGAAUAUUGGACAAUGGGCGCAAGCCUGAUCCAGCCAUGCCGCGUGAGUGAUGAAGGCCCUAGGGUUGUAAAGCUCUUUCACCGGUGAAGAUAAUGACGGUAACCGGAGAAGAAGCCCCGGCUAACUUCGUGCCAGCAGCCGCGGUAAUACGAAGGGGGCUAGCGUUGUUCGGAUUUACUGGGCGUAAAGCGCACGUAGGCGGACUAUUAAGUCAGGGGUGAAAUCCCGGGGCUCAACCCCGGAACUGCCUUUGAUACUGGUAGUCUUGAGUUCGAGAGAGGUGAGUGGAAUUCCGGGUGUAGAGGUGAAAUUCGUAGAUAUUCGGAGGAACACCAGUGGCGAAGGCGGCUCACUGGCUCGAUACUGACGCUGAGGUGCGAAAGCGUGGGGAGCAAACAGGAUUAGAUACCCGUGUAGUCC